rnacentral:rRNA from 1 species
UGGUGGUGUGAAUUGUCUGGUUAAUUCCGUUAACGAACGAGACCUCGACCUGCUAAAUAGUGCGUGUUUGUCCUCGGGCAAGCAUUGCACUUCUUAGAGGGACUAUCGGUGUUUAGCCGAAGGAAGUUCGAGGCAAUAACA